AAUGCUUUUAAUCUUUAAAGCUAACUUUGCAUCCCUUUUGCCUUCCUGAUGAUACAGAGGCCUUCCGAAACUCACACUCGCUUCCUAGGAAGCAAUCAAAAGUGGAAGGGAUCUGACUUACAGGUGGGCCACCAAAGAAGAG
rnacentral:lncRNA from 11 species